CCCUCACUUAUGUGAGAUGACUGUCUGGUCCUUGGCCUCCAGAGGAAUAGGCUCCCUGGUCUAGGCACCGGAAGCUUCAUCCCCACCACCGGGGAUUUUUUUCAAGUUGUUUCUGCUCUGUGGAGAUUCUUUUAAAACCUGUUUUUUUUUUUUUUUUUUUUAAAUCUUGGAUUUCUUGGAAAAUAGCUUGUCACCUUUUCCAUGUGUGAUGGUUUGCAUAUGCUCGGCCCAGGGAGUGGGACUAUUAGAAGGUGUGGCUUUGUUGGAGGAAGUGUGUCACUGUGGAGACCCUCCUCCUAGCUGCCUGGGGAUGUUCAGUCUGUUCCUGGCUUCCUUCUGGUGAAGAUGUAGAACUCAGCUUUUCCUGCACCAUGCCUGCCUGGAUGCUGCCAUGCUCCCAUCUGGAUGAUAAUGGACUGACCCUCUGAACCUAAACUGGAAACAACCUAGAUGUCCUUCAACUGAAGAAUGGAUAAAGAAAAUAUACACAAUGGAAUACUACAUGAAAUUUGCAGACAGGAGCCUAGCAAACUGUCUUCUGAGAAGCUUCACCCAGCAGCUAUGGAAACAGAUGCAAAGACCCACAGCCAAACAUUAGGCAGAGCUCAGAGAGUCUUGUGGAAAAGUGAAAGAAUUAAUGAAGUCAGAGGGAUCAAGGAUGCUACAAGAAGACCUACAGGAGCUGGGGACCGAACCCAGGGCCUUGCGCUUCCUAGGUAAGCACUCUACCACUGAGCUAAAUCCCCAGCCCCCAAUACUGUUUUUUUUAACUGAAUAGUAAUAUUAGGUUCUUAGUAGCCAAGCCUGUGUAGUAGCCAGUCACCAGUUUUGACCCAGCUAACACUACAAGGCAUACUGAGAAGGCUUUAAGUUGAAUCAGAAAGUAACCAUUUGCUCCUACAACACAUCUCUACUUCAUUAGUGGUCAUAUCUUGUCAGGUCAGUUGUUCUUGUAACUAUUUUUGACACUCUGUUAUGUACUAGAUAUUGUCAAGUUUAGAACUGUUACAUAUUUUGGGAAAAUUGAUUGUUUUGUUUUUCAUUAUGUCUGGAUUCUUAACUCUAGUAAUGUUUUUUUGCCUUAGUUUACUUUGUCUGAUGAUAGGAAGCUGCUCUUGAUUUCUCUGGUUAGUAUUUCCCUGUACAUGAUUUUUUUGUUUUAAACUCUUUGACUCUUGCUCUUCCUGUGCGCCCAUAUUUAAGAAAUGCGGGGGCAGGUAAGACACCUCUGCACAUAGAUGCACUCACCUUAAUGUCUGGUGACCUGAAUCUGAUGCUGAGAAACAAGGAAAGGGAAAAGAGGAAGCCUGACUCUUCCCAACGUCACAGCUAUGGUUCCCUGCACAAGUCAUGCACAAGGCCAAGCUGAUCAACAUUUCCGCAUCAAUGCUGACCAGCCAACAAACUGUAGGCAGUGGAUGCUGCUGGGAGAGGAACGUGAGGUUUCUUCAAAGGUGUGGUCCUUGACAAGUCAACCAUGUUCCUGUGAAUGGCCCCACACCCAUGUGCAUUCGAGAAACACAGAUCAGACUCGGUGGUGAUAAAAGUUACAAUAAGCAGACAUUAAUCUGGGCAUCUGUGUGUCUGGAGGAUUUAUGGAGAAGAGUGAUGGUGAGCAUAAUCAAAGCACCCUGUGCUAUAUGAAGGUCUCAAAAGAAUAAAUAAACGGUAUGUUAAAAAA